rnacentral:misc_RNA from 1 species
AAACAAACACGAAAAACUACACGCCUGCGAAAGCUGUGCGACAACCCCAACCGCACCAAAAAUCUCAUCUCCUCUUCAUCCGCUGAAAUCAAUAUGUCUAUCCCAGUACCAUGUACACGUUUCAGCGAUAAUUACGAAUUAAAGGAAGAACUUGGGAAGGGAGCCUUUUCCAUUGUCAGAAGAUGCGUUCAAAAACAAAGUGGAUUAGAAUUCGCUGCUAAAAUAAUAAAUACAACGAAACUAUCUGCUCGAGAUUUUCAGAAGUUAGAAAGAGAAGCCAGGAUUUGUCGUAAACUAAAUCAUCAAAAUAUAGUGCGGUUACAUGAUAGCAUACAAGAAGAAGGAUAUCAUUACCUAAUAUUUGAUUUAGUUACUGGAGGAGAGUUGUUUGAAGAUAUUGUAGCUAGGGAAUAUUAUAGUGAAGCUGAUGCCAGUCAUUGUAUUCAACAAAUUCUUGAAAGUGUACACCACUGUCAUGUAAAUAGUAUUGUGCAUAGAGACCUCAAGCCUGAAAACUUACUAUUAGCAAGUAAAAGCAAAGGUGCUGCUGUCAAGCUUGCUGACUUUGGCCUGGCUAUCGAAGUCCAGGGAGAACAACAAGCUUGGUAUGGUUUUGCUGGGACACCUGGUUACCUUUCACCCGAAGUGCUUAAGAAAGAUCCAUAUGGAAAACCUGUUGAUAUAUGGGCUUGUGGGGUCAUUUUAUAUAUCCUUCUGGUCGGUUAUCCUCCAUUUUGGGAUGAAGAUCAACAUAGACUUUAUGCACAAAUCAAAGCUGGAGCUUAUGAUUACCCCUCGCCGGAAUGGGAUACAGUUACUCCUGAAGCCAAAAACCUAAUCAACAGUAUGCUGACAGUAAACCCAGCUAAAAGAAUAACAGCAUCUGAGGCCUUGAAGCACCCAUGGAUCUGCCAACGAGAGAGAGUUGCUUCAACACUUCAUCGUCAAGAAACAGUUGACUGCUUAAAGAAAUUUAACGCAAGGAGAAAGUUGAAAGGAGCUAUUUUAACUACCAUGUUAGCGACCAGAAAUUUUUCUAGCCGUAGCAUGGUAAAUAAGAAAUCUGAUGGUGGUUCUCAAGUGAAGGAGUCAACAGACAGCAAUGCAACUCUUGAAGAUGACGAUAUUCGAGACGGUACUCAUUCUGGCCCCGAAAGGAGCAAAACAGUUAUUCAAGUUGAGCAAGUUAAGUCUCCAAUCUCACCACAUCCCCCUGAUAAUAAAUUUGUGUAUAAAAGGCCCUCUGAAACAAGCUCUUCAAGUAUGUCAACGGCUUUAAAAAGUGCUAAUGGACUACUUGAUCCUCGAAAGCAGGAGGUAAUUAAGCUGACUGAACAAUUAGUUGAAGCUGUGAAUAGUGGUGAUUAUGAAUGUUACACUUUUAGGAAAAAAUAGCAAAACUGUUCAUAGUACGAUAUUGAAUCCUUCAGUACAUCUACUUGGUGAUGAUGCUGCUUGCAUAGCAUACAUAAGACUUACACAGUACAUGGACAAAAGUGGCAUGGCCCACACAUUGCAGUCAGAAGAAACACGUGUCU